rnacentral:rRNA from 1 species
GCAUAAUCUCUGAGGAGAAAAGCAGGGGAUCGCAAGACCUUGCGCUUUUGGAGCGGCCGAUGUCUGAUUAGCUAGUUGGUGAGGUAAAGGCUUACCAAGGCUUCGAUCAGUAGCUGGUCUGAGAGGACGACCAGCCACACUGGGACUGAGACACGGCCCAGACUCCUACGGGAGGCAGCAGUGGGGAAUUUUGGACAAUGGGGGCAACCCUGAUCCAGCCAUGCCGCGUGAGUGAAGAAGGCCUUCGGGUUGUAAAGCUCUUUCAGCCGGAACGAAACGGUCACGGUUAAUAACUGUGAUCACUGACGGUACCGGAAGAAGAAG